GACGAACGCUGGCGGCGUGCUUAACACAUGCAAGUCGAACGAUGAACCCGGAGCUUGCUCCGGCGGAUUAGUGGCGAACGGGUGAGUAACACGUGGGUGAUCUGCCCUGCACUUCGGGAUAAGCCUGGGAAACUGGGUCUAAUACCGGAUAGGACUCCGGACUGCAUGGUCUGGGGUGGAAAGCUUUUGCGGUGUGGGAUGGGCCCGCGGCCUAUCAGCUUGUUGGUGGGGUGAUGGCCUACCAAGGCGACGACGGGUAGCCGGCCUGAGAGGGUGACCGGCCACACUGGGACUGAGAUACGGCCCAGACUCCUACGGGAGGCAGCAGUGGGGAAUAUUGCACAAUGGGCGCAAGCCUGAUGCAGCGACGCCGCGUGAGGGAUGACGGCCUUCGGGUUGUAAACCUCUUUCAGCAUCGACGAAGCGAAAGUGACGGUAGGUGCAGAAGAAGGACCGGCCAACUACGUGCCAGCAGCCGCCGUAA
rnacentral:rRNA from 1 species